rnacentral:tRNA from 1 species
AUUCAAAUAGCUUAAAUAAGAGCAUGAUAUUGAAGAUAUUAAGGUAAUUAGUUAAUUUUUGGAUA